AAACUUUCUUACACCGAAUGCUUGCAUUCACCGUAAGAAGUUGAGUGGCGGACGGGUGAGUAACACGUGGGUAACCUGCCUAAAAGAAGGGGAUAACACUUGGAAACAGGUGCUAAUACCGUAUAUCUCUAAGGAUCGCAUGAUUCUUAGAUGAAAGAUGGUUCUGCUAUCGCUUUUAGAUGGACCCGCGGCGUAUUAACUAGUUGGUGGGGUAACGGCCUACCAAGGUGAUGAUACGUAGCCGAACUGAGAGGUUGAUCGGCCACAUUGGGACUGAGACACGGCCCAAACUCCUACGGGAGGCAGCAGUAGGGAAUCUUCCACAAUGGACGCAAGUCUGAUGGAGCAACGCCGCGUGAGUGAAGAAGGUCUUCGGAUCGUAAAACUCUGUUGUUAGAGAAGAACACGAGUGAGAGUAACUGUUCAUUCGAUGACGGUAUCUAACCAGCAAGUCACGGCUAACUACGUGCCAGCAGCCGCGGUAAUACGUAGGUGGCAAGCGUUGUCCGGAUUUAUUGGGCGUAAAGGGAACGCAGGCGGUCUUUUAAGUCUGAUGUGAAAGCCUUCGGCUUAACCGGAGUAGUGCAUUGGAAACUGGAAGACUUGAGUGCAGAAGAGGAGAGUGGAACUCCAUGUGUAGCGGUGAAAUGCGUAGAUAUAUGGAAGAACACCAGUGGCGAAAGCGGCUCUCUGGUCUGU
rnacentral:rRNA from 1 species